GACGAACGCUGGCGGCGUGCUUAACACAUGCAAGUCGAACGGAGUGGCGAACGGGUGAGUAACACGUGGGUGACCUGCCCUGUACUUCGGGAUAAGCCUGGGAAACUGGGUCUAAUCCCGGUUAGUGUGGGAUGGGCCCGAUGCCAAUCAGCUUGUUGGUGGGGUAAUGGCCUACCAAGCCGGCGACGGGUAGCCGGCCUGAGAGGGUGGACGGCCACAAUGGGACUGAGACACGGCCCAGACUCCUACGGGGGGCAGCAGUUGGGAAUAUUGCACAAUGGUCGGAAGCCUGAUGCAGGGACGCCGCGUGGGGGAUGACGGCCUGCGGGUUGUAAACUCCUUUCACCAUCGACGCGGUAGAUGGAGAAGAAGCACCGGCUAACUACGUGCCAGCAGCCGCGGUAAUUC
rnacentral:rRNA from 1 species